rnacentral:rRNA from 1 species
AUACCAAAAUAAUUAACUUCUCCAGCAAACACAUGAACAACUCUAUUUUAAUAGAGAUUAUUAUGCUAAAACUACUAAUAGAGUAACAACUCUACCUGCGCAUUUAUCACUCAAAUGAUAUAGAUAAUUAACAGACCAUAGAAGGAUAAGUACAACUUAAUUAACAAGUCCUUUAGAUACUGUGAGUCCAACUCAGGUGCGCAAUAUGGUAAAAUUAAAAGUUACAAAAGGAACUCGGCAAACAUGGAUUCCAACUGUUUACCAAAAACAUAGCCUUUAGCUAAGCAAGUAUUGAAGGUAAUGCCUGCCCAGUGAAAUCACUUUUAACGGCCGCGGUACCCUAACCGUGCAAAGGUAGCGUAUCAA